CCAAAUCUUAAGCUAAGAUUUGUGAAGAAAUAGCUCUUAUAAAAGAGUUUUUACACUUAUAUUUAAGUUUUUUCUUUACAAAUCUUAUCUUAAGAUUUGG
rnacentral:pre_miRNA from 1 species